CAAGAACUCUCCCCUGCAAAGUCUACUUCUUUUAUUAAAGAACAUGCUGUAAGUCUUUUGGUUUUGAAGAAACUUUUCUUUUACUGGUUUCUGUGUUGUUUUUUUUUAUCAUGCUCAUCCGCACUUCACUGUAGUCAAUAUUUGGUUGUUCUCCAAAUGUUUUUGGCACAUAGGCUUUGACUUAGGUUUACUGAGUAGGUCUUAAAAUAUCCCUAGAACUGUGAUAUUCAUAAAACUAGGUAAUUUCUGGGUAAACCUGGGCGUUUUAUGGUGAAUUUUAGGAAAUACCCAUUCAGGAUAUAGAAGAUGAGAGGUUUUUAGGGUUUGAAACCAGGUUGCUUAGGGGUUAUGCUUCUUGGGUGGUUUUGCUCUAAACCGCUCCCCAAGGAGAGUAGUGGCCUGGUUUUCUGACACACGGAUCCCUAAACAUCAGGGGUCUGUUGGGAAACCUAGGCGCGUAGCAUAGGUAGUGCGUGGCCUCACACCGCGGGCUGAGAUUACUUCAGCUCGUGCGUUAAAACCCUCAGCCUUCCUUUGUUAUUUCUUGCCUUUAUAAAAAUUCUAGGUCGCCUACUAAGAGUUCCAUCGUUCUUGUUCAAUAGGCGAUCUAAUGGCACCCAAGAAAGGCGCAUCGAAGAAGAAUGCAGCCGGCUCAUCGUCUCAACGAACCAAUAAGGGGAAAGAGGUCGCCUCCAAAUCCCCCAUCCCUCAGUUCGGCCCCGUGGUGGAGGAGGAGGUCGUGGUCAAACCUGAUGCCUUCUUCGAGGCAGAGAGAAUAGUCUACAAGAUCACGACCCAAGGAAGGGUCAACAAGAUUAUGUUGUCCCAUAAUAUCGAGGUCGGGUCUGGCGUUCUCAUUGCCCGACCCCCUAUGAAGGAGAGCGGAGUUGCGCACCACUCCAGGAUGACUUUGCGGCCUGGAGCGAUGAGCACCUAAAGGCAGGGGCCUUUCUUCCCCUCGACCAAUACUUCGCAGACUUCCUCAAUUACGUGUAGUUGGUGCCGUUUCAGCUCCCCCCAAACUCGUAUCGACUGCUAGCGGGGUUGAAGUAUGUUUUCCUGAGGCACGAGUGGGAGGUCCCCACCCCGACGGAUAUUCUCUACUUUUUUCUGCCUCAAGGCCAGCCCGGAUCAACGAGGGCGAGGUGAUGGGUUUUAUUAUCUGACCCGAUUCCCGAACUCGUCCUCGGUCAUCGAGCUCCCCAGCCAUCCCAACGAUUAUAAAGAUCAAUUCCUUAUGUCGAAUGGGUUCCGCAACUGCGAACAUCGCUACUUCAAUCGUCCUUGUAAGUUUUCUAUCCUUUCUUAGCUCGUGAGAUUAUUCCCUUUGUAUUUGGAGUUAUCUCUCGUUUGUAUACUAACUGAGUAGUAUUCUCAUGCAGCCAUUUUUGCCAGGACGGCCAAAUCCGUGACCCUUGGGGGUCAGUAUGAUACUCUUUCGAGGCUUCCGCCUAGCGAGAAGGAUUACUGCCAGCUCGUGUCCGACGACACGAUGUUGGCGUGUAAGUUGAUCACUGAAGGCCAGACUCUGGCCUUGAGAAGAACACGGGCUAACUUCUUGGUAGCCCGUGAGCUCCCGCCUAUCCCCGAAGGGGGUCCUGAGGCUGAUGAAGGUGAGGAGCAAGAAGAAGACAAGGUACCCCUCGUGCUGAAGAGGCGAGCUCCUGAGGCAGCUCGGGACCCUGAUGUAGAGCGAGCUUCAUCGGGGGCAGCAGCCGGCCCCUCCGACUAAGGUAACCCAUACCCCUUUAGGGAUUUAGAUAGGGAUGUCACCGACCUUAGGCUAGUUAGGUUUAACCCAAACCAGCUCAUACAUCGUCACCCUAAUGACCCCGAUCGUAACAUAACCCUGCUUCAGUGCGUGGAUCAUUUAGUGUUACGUCAUGACAUGGGCCAUCCUAGAGGCACCGUAGUAGUAGACAACACCCUAUCCUUUAGGUCGGUCUUUUUUGAAGAGUAUGGAACCAACCUUAGGUCGUGGCCCUCCCUGCUCCAGGGUAUCCUUGCUCCUGGACUUAGGCAAUACGUAGAGGAAUCCAACCCUGAGAUAGAACCUGAUCCGGAACCUCUCCUGAUCCAAGAAGUUGUAGACUUAGGCUCUCCCUCUCCUAUAUCGGUUCCGAGGCCAGGGGUCGUGGCAAUAGACUCCUCCUCUAGCUCAGAGGGCGAGGAGAUGGCACAACAAGGGGUUCCCAAUAUCCGCACUAUUUUCCAAGAGGGAAACUCUAGCUCGGGGCCAGUAGUAAAGAAGCCCUGGUUUAUAGCUAAGAAGGUGCCACCUACGGCAGGGACGACCUCCAAAUCCCCGGCUAAGGGGAAGACAGCUCCAGCCACUGUUGCUCAGGAGAAAAGAGGUCCGCCUCCACCUCCUCCCCGAUUUCCAUCCACCUCUGCUCGGGACAGGCGGCACAAGCUGACCCCCCAGUGCCCUUCGUCCCCACCGCCUCCAUACGUAUUCCGGUCAAUGCCCAGGACCUGGAGAAGAUACAGGAAUGAAGAGCUUCGGGUCGAGCUCUAGGUUGCUCAGACAGCCUUGACUGCCGCCCAAACUACCCUUACAACUGCUCAACAAGGCGAGCUGGACGCCAAGGCUGCUCUUGCAGGAUCUCAAGAGGGCGAGCAGGCUGGAAAGGCUGCUUUGCAAACCAACCUCGCGGAGGCCAAAGCCAAGCAAUUGGAGGCUGAGACUGUUGCCAAGGAGGAGAAGGUGGCCUCGUUAACCUCCAUGGAGAGUAUGCUGUACCACUGCUGGGCCUUCAAUUAGGAUGGAAACUUCUCCUUCCUGGCCUUCGAGGUGUGGGAUCCCUACCUCGAGAAGUUCAAGGCUCGGAUUCAACAAGAGCAGUCCGAGACUGGGGAGGCCUCCACCGCUGGCGAGCAGGAGAUCGAGGAGGUGACGUCCUCAGAGCGCCCUGGAGGGUCUUAAUUUUUCUUUUGUAUUUAUUCAUUCUUAUUUUGUGUGUAAACUUUUGCCAUUUGGCUCGGUGUGAGAUUAUUUUCCUCGAGACAAUUUAUUCCUAAUUUGAAUA